rnacentral:lncRNA from 1 species
AUUUAUAACUCAUGGGAUCUUCUCUAUGUAUGUCUGCUAUUGAGGGUUAUUGUUGUUGCAUAAUUUUAAAUCAUAUGCAUCAUUUAGAUUAAAAUAAAUAUAUUCCACAUCGUAGAACACCCCUUCAGGCGAAAUGGAGUCUUCCAUAUUGUCGUUUCGAGUUGUCUCCCUUCCGGCAGUAACUUCCGUGAAUUCUGAAUAUAAACAAGAUGUCGAGUAUUAGCUCGUUCUGUCAAUAAACAUCGUAUUAUAUUAAAAACGAAUGCAAUUUAAACCGAUAAAUGUGUACGGAAAGGAGCCAUGAUGACUGACCCAAAGGAAAUUAAAUAUUUAAAGAGUUAGGAAUGGGGUUCCUCCUAGAAUUAACGUAGGAAAAAAGGUGAUAAGAUACGAAUUGAAAUCUACAUCUACAUCUACAUCAUACGACGAUCCAUCAGCACAUUGAUGACUAUACGUCGGUGCAUCGCUAACAGACACUUAAUAAAAUAUGAUAACCAAUGAGUGAAAUAAAAUACCUUCUCUGACAUCUCUCACUCUGAGUCAGUCAGUGACUGCUGUGGAAAGUAAACUUGGUAUUGAUAGUACGAAAAUUAAACACAAUAGACCUAAUUACAUUGUUCAUACACUUUUAUCCGGGUUUGGCUAUUUUGUAACUAUUUUACAUGUCUGUUUGUCAUUUGAAUUAGUUUUGAAAAUAAUAUUAUCCAGCUACAUGCAUACAUGUGUCAAUGAAACAAUGGCAAUCGUAUCCCUCAGAGCAAUCUGCUCUUUGAUUAA